UACGUAGGGAGCAAGCGUUGUCCGGAAUCAUUGGGCUUAAAGGGCGCGUAGGCGGGCUGCCGCGUCCGGGGUGAAAUCCUCCCGCUCAACGGGAGAACGGCCUCGGAUACGGGCGGCCUCGAGGGGGGUAGGGGCAUCUGGAACUGUGAGUGGAGCGGUGAAAUGCGUUGAUAUUCACAGGAACUCCGGUGGCGAAGGCGAAGUGCUGGACCCCAUCUGACGCUGAGGCGCGAAAGCCAGGGGAGCGAACGGG
rnacentral:rRNA from 1 species